rnacentral:rRNA from 1 species
GGGUUGUGAGGUUAAGCGACUAAGCGUACACGGUGGAUGCCCUGGCAGUCAGAGGCGAUGAAGGACGUGCUAAUCUGCGAUAAGCGUCGGUAAGGUGAUAUGAACCGUUAUAACCGGCGAUUUCCGAAUGGGGAAACCCAGUGUGUUUCGACACACUAUCAUUAACUGAAUCCAUAGGUUAAUGAGGCGAACCGGGGGAACUGAAACAUCUAAGUACCCCGAGGAAAAGAAAUCAACCGAGAUUCCCCCAGUAGCGGCGAGCGAACGGGGAGCAGCCCAGAGCCUGAAUCAGUGUGUGUGUUAGUGGAAGCGUCUGGAAAGGCGCGCGAUACAGGGUGACAGCCCCGUACACAAAAAUGCACAUAUUGUGAGCUCGAUGAGUAGGGCGGGACACGUGGUAUCCUGUCUGAAUAUGGGGGGACCAUCCUCCAAGGCUAAAUACUCCUGACUGACCGAUAGUGAACCAGUACCGUGAGGGAAAGGCGAAAAGAACCCCGGCGAGGGGAGUGAAAAAGAACCUGAAACCGUGUACGUACAAGCAGUGGGAGCACGCUUAGGCGUGUGACUGCGUACCUUUUGUAUAAUGGGUCAGCGACUUAUAUUCUGUAGCAAGGUUAACCGAAUAGGGGAGCCGAAGGGAAACCGAGUCUUAACUGGGCGUUAAGUUGCAGGGUAUAGACCCGAAACCCGGUGAUCUAGCCAUGGGCAGGUUGAAGGUUGGGUAACACUAACUGGAGGACCGAACCGACUAAUGUUGAAAAAUUAGCGGAUGACUUGUGGCUGGGGGUGAAAGGCCAAUCAAACCGGGAGAUAGCUGGUUCUCCCCGAAAGCUAUUUAGGUAGCGCCUCGUGAAUUCAUCUCCGGGGGUAGAGCACUGUUUCGGCAAGGGGGUCAUCCCGACUUACCAACCCGAUGCAAACUGCGAAUACCGGAGAAUGUUAUCACGGGAGACACACGGCGGGUGCUAACGUCCGUCGUGAAGAGGGAAACAACCCAGACCGCCAGCUAAGGUCCCAAAGUCAUGGUUAAGUGGGAAACGAUGUGGGAAGGCCCAGACAGCCAGGAUGUUGGCUUAGAAGCAGCCAUCAUUUAAAGAAAGCGUAAUAGCUCACUGGUCGAGUCGGCCUGCGCGGAAGAUGUAACGGGGCUAAACCAUGCACCGAAGCUGCGGCAGCGACGCUGAUGCGUUGUUGGGUAGGGGAGCGUUCUGUAAGCCUGCGAAGGUGUGCUGUGAGGCAUGCUGGAGGUAUCAGAAGUGCGAAUGCUGACAUAAGUAACGAUAAAGCGGGUGAAAAGCCCGCUCGCCGGAAGACCAAGGGUUCCUGUCCAACGUUAAUCGGGGCAGGGUGAGUCGACCCCUAAGGCGAGGCCGAAAGGCGUAGUCGAUGGGAAACAGGUUAAUAUUCCUGUACUUGGUGUUACUGCGAAGGGGGGACGGAGAAGGCUAUGUUGGCCGGGCGACGGUUGUCCCGGUUUAAGCGUGUAGGCUGGUUUUCCAGGCAAAUCCGGAAAAUCAAGGCUGAGGCGUGAUGACGAGGCACUACGGUGCUGAAGCAACAAAUGCCCUGCUUCCAGGAAAAGCCUCUAAGCAUCAGGUAACAUCAAAUCGUACCCCAAACCGACACAGGUGGUCAGGUAGAGAAUACCAAGGCGCUUGAGAGAACUCGGGUGAAGGAACUAGGCAAAAUGGUGCCGUAACUUCGGGAGAAGGCACGCUGAUAUGUAGGUGAAGUCCCUUGCGGAUGGAGCUGAAAUCAGUCGAAGAUACCAGCUGGCUGCAACUGUUUAUUAAAAACACAGCACUGUGCAAACACGAAAGUGGACGUAUACGGUGUGACGCCUGCCCGGUGCCGGAAGGUUAAUUGAUGGGGUCAGCGCAAGCGAAGCUCUUGAUCGAAGCCCCGGUAAACGGCGGCCGUAACUAUAACGGUCCUAAGGUAGCGAAAUUCCUUGUCGGGUAAGUUCCGACCUGCACGAAUGGCGUAAUGAUGGCCAGGCUGUCUCCACCCGAGACUCAGUGAAAUUGAACUCGCUGUGAAGAUGCAGUGUACCCGCGGCAAGACGGAAAGACCCCGUGAACCUUUACUAUAGCUUGACACUGAACAUUGAGCCUUGAUGUGUAGGAUAGGUGGGAGGCUUAGAAGUGUGGACGCCAGUCUGCAUGGAGCCGACCUUGAAAUACCACCCUUUAAUGUUUGAUGUUCUAACGUUGACCCGUAAUCCGGGUUGCGGACAGUGUCUGGUGGGUAGUUUGACUGGGGCGGUCUCCUCCUAAAGAGUAACGGAGGAGCACGAAGGUUGGCUAAUCCUGGUCGGACAUCAGGAGGUUAGUGCAAUGGCAUAAGCCAGCUUGACUGCGAGCGUGACGGCGCGAGCAGGUGCGAAAGCAGGUCAUAGUGAUCCGGUGGUUCUGAAUGGAAGGGCCAUCGCUCAACGGAUAAAAGGUACUCCGGGGAUAACAGGCUGAUACCGCCCAAGAGUUCAUAUCGACGGCGGUGUUUGGCACCUCGAUGUCGGCUCAUCACAUCCUGGGGCUGAAGUAGGUCCCAAGGGUAUGGCUGUUCGCCAUUUAAAGUGGUACGCGAGCUGGGUUUAGAACGUCGUGAGACAGUUCGGUCCCUAUCUGCCGUGGGCGCUGGAGAACUGAGGGGGGCUGCUCCUAGUACGAGAGGACCGGAGUGGACGCAUCACUGGUGUUCGGGUUGUCAUGCCAAUGGCACUGCCCGGUAGCUAAAUGCGGAAGAGAUAAGUGCUGAAAGCAUCUAAGCACGAAACUUGCCCCGAGAUGAGUUCUCCCUGACUCCUUGAGAGUCCUGAAGGAACGUUGAAGACGACGACGUUGAUAGGCCGGGUGUGUAAGCGCAGCGAUGCGUUGAGCUAACCGGUACUAAUGAACCGUGAGGCUUAACCUUACAACGCCGAAGGUGUUU